CUACGGGGGGCAGCAGUGAGGAAUAUUGCACAAUGGGGGGAACCCUGAUGCAGCAACGCCGCGUGGAGGAUGACGCAUUUCGGUGUGUAAACUCCUUUUAUAUGUCAAGAAAAUGACGGUAGCAUAUGAAUAGGCACCGGCUAACUCCGUGCCAGCAGCCGCGGUAAUACGGAGGGUGCAAGCGUUACUCGGAAUCACUGGGCGUAAAGGACGCGUAGGCGGGCUUGUAAGUCAGGUGUGAAAUCCUACAGCUUAACUGUAGAACGGCACUUGAAACUACGAGCCUAGAGUAUGGGAGGGGGAGAUGGAAUUAGUGGUGUAGGGGUAAAAUCCGUAGAUAUCACUAGGAAUACCUAAAGCGAAGGCGAUCUCCUGGAACAUAACUGACGCUAAGGCGUGAAAGCGUGGGGAGCAAACAGGAUUAGAUACCCGAGUAGUC
rnacentral:rRNA from 1 species